CCUACGGGAGGCAGCAGUGGGGAAUAUUGGGCAAUGGGCGCAAGCCUGCCCCAGCAACGCCGCGUGAAGGAAGAAGGCUUUCGGGUUGUAAACUUCUUUUAAGAGGGAAGAGCAGAAGACGGUACCUCUUGAAUAAGCCGCGGCUAACUACGUGCCAUCAGCCGCGGUAAUACGUAGGGUGCAAGCGUUGUCCGGAUUUACUGGGUGUAAAGGGCGUGCAGCCGGGAAGACAAGUCAUAUGGGAAAUCCAGCGGCUCAACCGCGGAACUGCAUUUGAAACUGGUUUUCUUGAGUACCGGAGAAGUAAGCGGAAUUCCUUGUGUAGCGUUGAAAUGCGUAGAUAUAAGGAAGAACACCAGUGGCGAAGGCGGAUGACUGGACGGCAACUGACGGUGAGGCGCGAAAGCGUGGGGAGCAAACAGGAUUAGAUACCCCUGUAGUC
rnacentral:rRNA from 1 species